rnacentral:rRNA from 1 species
UACGUAGGGGGCUAGCGUUGUCCGGAUUUAUUGGGCGUAAAGAGCGUGUAGGCGGCCAGGUAGGUCCGUUGUGAAAACUGGAGGCUCAACCUUCAGACGUCGACGGAAACCGUGUGGCUAGAGUCCGGAAGAGGAGAGUGGAAUUCCUGGUGUAGCGGUGAAAUGCGCAGAUAUCAGGAAGAACACCAAUGGCGAAGGCAGCUCUCUGGGACGGUACUGACGCUGAGGCACGAAGGCCAGGGGAGCAAACGGG